AGUGAACGCUGGCGGUAGGCCUAACACAUGCAAGUCGAACGGCAGCACAGUAAGAGCUUGCUCUUACGGGUGGCGAGUGGCGGACGGGUGAGGAAUACAUCGGAAUCUACUUUUUCGUGGGGGAUAACGUAGGGAAACUUACGCUAAUACCGCAUACGACCUACGGGUGAACGCAGGGGAUCUUCGGACCUUGCGCGAUUGAAUGAGCCGAUGUCGGAUUAGCUAGUUGGCGGGGUAAAGGCCCACCAAGGCGACGAUCCGUAGCUGGUCUGAGAGGAUGAUCAGCCACACUGGAACUGAGACACGGUCCAGACUCCUACGGGAGGCAGCAGUGGGGAAUAUUGGACAAAGGGCGCAAGCCUGAUCCAGCCAUACCGCGUGGGUGAAGAAGGCCUUCGGGUUGUAAAGCCCUUUUGUUGGGAAAGAAAAGCAGCAGGUUAAUACCCCGCUGUUCUGACGGUACCAAAAGAAUAAGCACCGGCUAACUUCGUG
rnacentral:rRNA from 1 species